GGGCGUCGAGCGGCGGACGGGUGAGUAAUGCCUAGGAAAUUGCCUUGAUGUGGGGGAUAACCAUUGGAAACGAUGGCUAAUACCGCAUAAUGCCUACGGGCCAAAGAGGGGGAUCUUCGGACCUCUCGCGUCAAGAUAUGCCUAGGUGGGAUUAGCUAGUUGGUGAGGUAAUGGCUCACCAAGGCGACGAUCCCUAGCUGGUCUGAGAGGAUGAUCAGCCACACUGGAACUGAGACACGGUCCAGACUCCUACGGGAGGCAGCAGUGGGGAAUAUUGCACAAUGGGCGAAAGCCUGAUGCAGCCAUGCCGCGUGUAUGAAGAAGGCCUUCGGGUUGUAAAGUACUUUCAGUUGUGAGGAAGGGUGUGUAGUUAAUAGCUGCGUAUCUUGACGUUAGCAACAGAAGAAGCACCGGCUAACUCCGUGCCAGCAGCCGCGGUAAUACGGAGGGUGCGAGCGUUAAUCGGAAUUACUGGGCGUAAAGCGCAUGCAGGUGGUUCAUUAAGUCAGAUGUGAAAGCCCGGGGCUCAACCUCGGAACUGCAUUUGAAACUGGUGAACUAGAGUGCUGUAGAGGGGGGUAGAAUUUCAGGUGUAGCGGUGAAAUGCGUAGAGAUCUGAAGGAAUACCAGUGGCGAAGGCGGCCCCCUGGACAGACACUGACACUCAGAUGCGAAAGCGUGGGGAGCAAACAGGAUUAGAUACCCUGGUAGUCCACGCCGUAAACGAUGUCUACUUGGAGGUUGUGGCCUUGAGCCGUGGCUUUCGGAGCUAACGCGUUAAGUAGACCGCCUGGGGAGUACGGUCGCAAGAUUAAAACUCAAAUGAAUUGACGGGGGCCCGCACAAGCGGUGGAGCAUGUGGUUUAAUUCGAUGCAACGCGAAGAACCUUACCUACUCUUGACAUCCAGAGAAGCCAGCGGAAAACGCAGGUGUGCCUUCGGGAACUCUGAGACAGGUGCUGCAUGGCUGUCGUCAGCUCGUGUUGUGAAAUGUUGGGUUAAGUCCCGCAACGAGCGCAACCCUUAUCCUUGUUUGCCAGCGAGUAAUGUCGGGAACUCCAGGGAGACUGCCGGUGAUAAACCGGAGGAAAGUGGGGACGACGUCAAGUC
rnacentral:rRNA from 1 species